rnacentral:rRNA from 1 species
CACGUAGUUGGCCGGUCCUUCUUCUGCACAUACCGUCACUUGCGCUUCGUCUGUGCUGAAAGAGGUUUACAACCCGAAGGCCGUCAUCCCUCACGCGGCGUCGCUGCAUCAGGCUUGCGCCCAUUGUGCAAUAUUCCCCACUGCUGCCUCCCGCAGGAGUCUGGGCCGUAUCUCAGUCCCAGUGUGGCCGGUCACCCUCUCAGGCCGGCUACCCGUCGUCGCCUUGGUAGGCCAUCACCCCACCAACAAGCUGAUAGGCCGCGGGCCCAUCCCACACCGCAAAAGCCUUUCCCUACCAGGCCAUGCGACCAGCAGGGUAUAUUCGGUAUUAGACCCAGUUUCCCAGGCUUAUCCCAAAGUGCAGGGCAGAUCACCCACGUGUUACUCACCCGUUCGCCACUCGAGUACCCCGAAAGGCCUUCCGUUCGACUUGCAUGUGUUAAGCGCGCCGCCAGCGUUCGUCCUGAGCCAGAGUCAAACGUACU